CGAGGUCUUUGUGUACCCCGUGCGGCUCCACCCAUGACGCACAUAUGGGGAAUGGUAAAGACCGAG
rfam:Leptomonas pyrrhocoris LpyrH10_07, whole genome shotgun sequence.